UGCAGUCGAGCGGACAGAAGGGAGCUUGCUCCCGGAUGUUAGCGGCGGACGGGUGAGUAACACGUGGGUAACCUGCCUGUAAGACUGGGAUAACUCCGGGAAACCGGAGCUAAUACCGGAUAGUUCCUUGAACCGCAUGGUUCAAGGAUGAAAGACGGUUUCGGCUGUCACUUACAGAUGGACCCGCGGCGCAUUAGCUAGUUGGUGAGGUAACGGCUCACCAAGGCGACGAUGCGUAGCCGACCUGAGAGGGUGAUCGGCCACACUGGGACUGAGACACGGCCCAGACUCCUACGGGAGGCAGCAGUAGGGAAUCUUCCGCAAUGGACGAAAGUCUGACGGAGCAACGCCGCGUGAGUGAUGAAGGUUUUCGGAUCGUAAAGCUCUGUUGUUAGGGAAGAACAAGUGCAAGAGUAACUGCUUGCACCAUGACGGUACCUAACCAGAAAGCCACGGCUAACUACGUGCCAGCAGCCGCGGUAAUACGUAGGUGGCAAGCGUUGUCCGGAAUUAUUGGGCGUAAAGGGCUCGCAGGCGGUUUCUUAAGUCUGAUGUGAAAGCCCCCGGCUCAACCGGGGAGGGUCAUUGGAAACUGGGAAACUUGAGUGCAGAAGAGGAGAGUGGAAUUCCACGUGUAGCGGUGAAAUGCGUAGAGAUGUGGAGGAACACCAGUGGCGAAGGCGACUCUCUGGUCUGUAACUGACGCUGAGGAGCGAAAGCGUGGGGAGCGAACAGGAUUAGAUACCCUGGUAGUCCACGCCGUAAACGAUGAGUGCUAAGUGUUAGGGGGUUUCCGCCCCUUAGUGCUGCAGCUAACGCAUUAAGCACUCCGCCUGGGGAGUACGGUCGCAAGACUGAACUCAAAGGAUUUGACGGGGGCCC
rnacentral:rRNA from 1 species